rnacentral:rRNA from 1 species
UACGUAGGGUGCAAGCGUUGUCCGGAAUUAUUGGGCGUAAAGAGCUCGUAGGCGGUCUGUUGCGUCGGCUGUGAAAACCCGGGGCUCAACUCCGGGCCUGCAGCCGAUACGGGCAGACUAGAGUUCGGCAGGGGAGACUGGAAUUCCUGGUGUAGCGGUGAAAUGCGUAGAUAUCGAGAGGAACACCUGCGGCGAAGGCGGGUUGCUGGGCUGACACUGACGCUGAGGCGCGAAAGCGUGGGGAGCGAACCGG